AAGCUCGAAAUGCAUCCAAACACUCGAACCUCACAAUUUGCAAAGGUCCAGUGUGUUACAGCGCCGUUCGAUACUAAAACCCUUCUAACCCUUCUUAAACUCAUUUUUAACCCUUCCAACAUUGUUGGAAUGCUAAAUGCAACUUGUCCAUUCAUCUCUUUCGUAUACUUUAGUCAAUUUGGCUAAAGUUCGAUAAUCGUUCUCGAGGUUUCAAUAUGUUACAUUAGCAGAAAAUUCACAGUGUCAGAAAAUUAUGAAAAUCUGAAAAUAUGUCGGGAUUAUUUUUAUGAUGCUAAUUUAAAGUUUCAUAUCAUUCCGACACUCGGAAAGUGAAAAAUAAAAUCUGACUGCUAUCUGUUAGAGAUUUCAGUUCGGUAGAGUUUUCGGUGACCAAAAAUAGUCGAAAUUGAAAAGUUAAGAUAUAUUUCUUUUUAUUAGUUUAAAUCGAGUCUGACUGU
rnacentral:lncRNA from 1 species